CUCAAGGCCUGGAGUUUGAGACCCCUGCCCUAGAGACUUAUUCUACAAAUUAAAAUGCUUUAAUUACCAAUUCAGACUUGCUUAGAACCCUCCUUUUAGCUAAGUAGAUGGAUUUGUGAGGAGGCGAGCCAAGAUGCCCGUCAGCUGCCACAAACGUUUUCACUGAAUCAGAAUGGAAAACUGAUGACUCGGCAUUUGGAUGGCUUCGCUGUCUAAAGAUCUCAGUCCUCCUGAUAAGAGGCUAAUACACAGCUGCACCCACCUGCAGAACAUUUACACAGAUAUCAAAUCCUUGAAACGAGCCGUUUCCCUGACUACAACAGCUUGUCAAACUAGGAAACAGGACUGUUUGAAAUUGAAUCAACAGUAUUUAAUUCAUACAUUAUUUUUUAGUUUCAGUCAUCAGCAACAGUUCACAGUUUUUUGGUCCAUUCUUCUUUUCAGAAUUGAAAAAUUCAAGCCACAUCAAAUUAAAAAUAUGGAAAGCCAGAGUUGAACAAAAAUAAACCAUAACAAAAUAAGCCAGCCAGGAGACAUAAGGAGACUAUGGGAAAACCUGGGAAAUAGCUGAAGGAUCCAGCGAAGAGCAGCUGAGAAAGAGGUGCUAAAGUACUGGGAGGUUGAUUGCUGAAACAAUUGACCUGGACUGAUUGCAGGUGUGAGGGGAGAGAGCAGAGGGCAAACUGAGGAGAGAGAGAAAGAGGCACCGGGGCGAGGGAGAGUAUAGGGACUAGAAAAUUAAUCUAAUAGUAAAACAAAUUAAACAUACAGUAGUUAAACUAGAGUAACUAAACACUAGAAAUAAACAUAACAAACUAGAAUCACUAAGAAAGACCUGACUAAAGAAAGCAAGAACAAGACUGAUCCAACCAAAAUAAGAAACUAACACAAAAUCAUAAUGAAACUAGAAUCAAAUCAAGCUACAAAAUAAUAAAAGCUCCUAAAAUUAUGAUUCAAAACAGGCAAUUUAAAAAAAAUAAUUUUCUGUUAUUAAAAUUCGGAGUAAUUGCAGCUGUCGUAAUUGGAGAUUUCCUUUUUUUUUUUUAAACAAAACCCACUUUGUUCACAUAAGUCACCAAUUUAGUUUUCAGAUCCAUCUGCGUUCUAAAUUAGAUGAGCCCCACUUGUCCACGGAUGAUUGUUAGGAAAUAAGGUUGGAGACCUUGUGGACAGUGUUGUAAAUCACAGUGAUAAAGUUUAACUUUAAUCCACUGUAGCUACAGGCACAGUGACACAAGCGUGAGCCGGGACAUAAAGACCACCUGAGAGCAGGAAAGCCUGCGUCUCGUUCCAUCUUCAUUAUUCUUCCUCGUUGAAUUGAACCAUGAGAGGAUGGCUUUUCUUCUUAAAUGAGUUUUAGUCGACAGUUUGUCUUGAUUUGCAACACAUGCGUUUCAUCAUUUUGUUGCCAAAACCACAAAACCUUUCAAAUGCGACAAUUGCUUUUCUGUUUACGUCCUGAUGCCUGGAGGAAGAGAGGGGCCGUGGAGCUUGACCAAGCUUUUCGGGAUUAAAGAAGAGGCAGCAGCACGUCUGCAGACCCUGCACGGCUCCAUCCGAGGCAGGUCACUUUCAAGCUGCUGGAGCAAAACCAGCCCGUCAUCACACACAUCUUCAAACAGCCAUGCAUGAAGUUCUCUCCCACCAGCUGUUCUUGCUUUUCUCUCUAUCAUUCUCAGGUGUGAUGGCAACGUCGGCAAGCUGAGCGCUGACGUGAGCUCGGGGGAGCAGCAGAUGAUUAGAUUGCUGGAGGAAAUUGCAGGACUCAAAAUAGGUGUUGGCGCACUGCUUCAAGAACUUUUAGUCCAAGGGACCGGUGGGAUAGUUUCAGACAGACGAGCCAGGCCCUCUGUGGCCAAUCAGAUGGGCUGAACUGCAUCAGGAUCUGCAGCUGCUCAAACAGGCAUGAAACAAAGAUCACUGCUGGCAAGUUGCUGUCAUUACUGUACAAACAUAUACAAGCAGUAUGUCGUUUGCGUUAAACGUAAAGGGAGUAAAGAAACAGCAGAAAGAGAGCUUUGUGGAAGGAAAAGAGACUCAUCAUUAUUUCUUUACCCCUCAAUAAUAUU